GACGAACGCUGGCGGCGUGCUUAACACAUGCAAGUCGAACGGAAAGGCCCUGCUUUUGUGGGGUGCUCGAGUGGCGAACGGGUGAGUAACACGUGAGUAACCUGCCCUUGACUUUGGGAUAACUUCAGGAAACUGGGGCUACACCGGUUAGGACCUCCCUCUUCGUUGUGGGGGGUGGGAAGUUUCGGCGGUUGGGGAUGGACUCGCGGCUUAUCAGCUUGUUGGUGGGGUAGUGGCUUACCAAGGCUUUGACGGGUAGCCGGCCUGAGAGGGUGACCGGCCACAUUGGGACUGAGAUACGGCCCAGACUCCUACGGGAGGCAGCAGUGGGGAAUAUUGCACAAUGGGCGGAAGCCUGAUGCAGCAACGCCGCGUGCGGGAUGACGGCCUUCGGGUUGUAAACCGCUUUCGCCUGUGACGAAGCGUGAGUGACGGUAAUGGGUAAAGAAGCACCGGCUAACUACGUG
rnacentral:rRNA from 1 species